AAGUCGUAACAAGGUUUCCGUAGGUGAACCUGCGGAAGGAUCAUUAACAUGCCGUGAACCAGCUCCGGUUUUCUCUCGAGAUUCUUUGCCUCGCGAAACCAAAGUCUCUGGGAAUACUGUACUUCUUGGGAGAGCGAUUACCCACACUCUGGGGGCGGGAAGUUCGGCUUCCUUGCCUUCGUCGGGUGGUCAUUGUGUCUUCGGGAAGUCGCGCUCUUUGCUGGUUCCAAGUUUAAACGGAUUAAGCUUCCGCGAGGUCGUGGUGCGUCCCCCCGUGGUUCAUAUUUACCGCGGCAAAACUUGACAACUUUAACCAACCGCGCUUCAGCCAAAAGCUGGAGUCGGAAACCCUGAACAACUGUUAGCAAUGGAUAUCUUGGCUCUC
rnacentral:misc_RNA from 1 species